rnacentral:rRNA from 1 species
UACGAAGGGGGCUAGCGUUGUUCGGAAUUACUGGGCGUAAAGCGCGCGCAGGCGGUCUUCCAAGUCAGUGGUGAAAGCCCGGAGCUCAACUCCGGAACUGCCAUUGAAACUGUUGGACUUGAGUACGAGAGAGGUGAGUGGAAUUCCCAGUGUAGAGGUGAAAUUCGUAGAUAUUGGGAAGAACACCGGUGGCGAAGGCGGCUCACUGGCUCGUAACUGACGCUCAGGCGCGACAGCGUGGGGAGUCGAAACAAGGA